UCCUGUCACUUCCUGUGACAGGGACUUUGGUGGUAGAACUUGGCUUGGAGGGCUGGAGCAUGGGACCUAAGAUUGCUUCCCUGAGAUGACCAUGUGAUGCAGCAAGGAGUCAUUGGAACUUAUUCAGCUGGGGAGUGUGACCUGGAUAGAGCUGUGCUUUAGGGACAUUGAUUUGGCAGCUGAGUAGAAGAUGGAUUAGACAAGAAGAGACUUGAGAUGGAGAAAUCAAUUUGGAAGCUCUUAAAAAUAGUCCAAGCGGGAGGUGAUGAGGGACUAACCUAUGGAGGUGGUGUGGCAAUAGGAAUCCAUCAAGGAAUUUGAGGAGGGGAGUGACAUGGCCAUUCUUAAUCCAUGGGAAGAUGGCGGUAAGCUAUGUGGAGGAUGUUGUUGCAGAGAGGACAAUAUGGAGACAACUCAUUGUGAUCUCCUCUACAUUGUUUUCAGGGCUCCCCUACUAAAGAGAGCCAGUCCACAAAGUUCUCAGAUUCUUUGCUUGUGCUCAGCAGUUCAGAAUGUUCCAAGUAAAUAAAUAAUGUUAAUGCA